rnacentral:misc_RNA from 1 species
GCACUUCUCACUGUUACUCAUAGAGAGGAUGCUGGAGAAUCGCGUUUGAGGACUGCUGCUUAUGAAACAUUAAAUGAAGUGGUGAGGUGCUCAACUGAUGAAACAGCACCUAUGGUUUUGCAAUUAGUCCCUGUAAUUAUGAUGGAGCUUCAUAAAACUCUUGAGGGCCAGAAGCUUUCAUCUGAUGAGAGAGAGAGGCAAAGUGAAUUACAAGGCCUUCUUUGUGGAUGUUUACAGGUAAUAAUUCAGAAGCUAGGGUCAUCAGAGCCAACCAAGUAUGUGUUCAUGCAGUAUGCAGAUCAGAUAAUGGGACUCUUCCUGAGGAUUUUUGCUUGUAGAAGUGCUGCCAUGCAUGAGGAGGCUAUGCUUGCCAUUGGAUCCCUUGCCUAUGCAAUGGGCCUGGAUUUUGCAAAAUAUAUGCUGGAGUUUUAUAAGUAUUUGGAUAUGGGUCUUCAAAAUUUUGAGGAGUACCA